rnacentral:rRNA from 1 species
UACGUAGGGUCCGAGCGUUGUCCGGAAUUACUGGGCGUAAAGAGCUCGUAGGUGGUUUGUCGCGUUGUUCGUGAAAACUCACAGCUUAACUGUGGGCGUGCGGUCGAUACGGGCAUCACUGGAGUUCGGCAGGGGAGACUGGAAUUCCUGGUGUAGCGGUGAAAUGCGCAGAUAUCAGGAGGAACACCGGUGGCGAAGGCGGUUCUCUGGGCAUUACCUGACGCUGAGGAGCGAAAGUGUGGGGAGGCGAACAGG